rnacentral:rRNA from 1 species
GACGAGGGGUCCAAGCGUUGUUCGGAAUCAUUGGGCGUAAAGCGGGUGUAGGCGGCUCUAUAAGUCAGAAGUGAAAGCCCCGAGCUUAACUUGGGAAGUGCUUUUGAUACUGCAGAGCUUGAAUGUGGGAGAGGGUAGUGGAAUUCCAGGUGUAGUGGUGAAAUACGUAGAUAUCUGGAGGAACACCGGUGGCGAAGGCGGCUACCUGGCCCAACAUUGACGCUGAGACCCGAAAGCGUGGGGAUCAAACAGG